CUGGGGAAGGGCCUCUGGUUGGAGAGCCCUCCUUGUUGAAGCUUUCCCUUGCAAACCUGGAAUCUUCUGAUACAGGUGAAACCCAGAAGUCCAGAAAGAAACUUCAAAAAGGAAGGAGCAUCUCAACCCUGUGUGUAUCUCUGUCUGAAGGCCUUGCAAACAGAUGAGCAGAGGCUGCCUGAAGUUUGCUCAGCUAUGCCAUGAUGAAAGACGCUGAAGGAGGAGGAAGAUGGCAAGAAGCGUUGUUCACUGGAAUGCAUGUACUGGAACUCACACUCACGUCUUCUGCUGGAGGGACCUCUGCCAAGGGAGAACAUCGCUUCUCAGGAACUGCUGGUUCGAAUUGCCACUUAAUCUCUUCAAAUUGGCUUUCGUGUACACCCGUGGCACAUGGACCUCAGCAGUCUGCAGAACACAAGGAAGAUUCCAUCCUGAGUCCCAGAGACGCCUUCAUCUCUGUAUCUAUGCAGCCCCAACCUGUGGCAGCUCUGUGGCCAUCCUAAGCACGCGAUGCUGGUGAGAUUCAAAGCUCUGAAGAAGCGGUCUUGGCAUGACUGUCUGCUGCUGAGUUUGCUGGAGAAAUUAAAACUUGUC